rnacentral:lncRNA from 1 species
CCAAAUAAACGGUCAAGAUUAGGAAAAGAUAUGUAUUUAAACCCCUCUUCAAUUGUCCUAAAACCCUAGCUGACGUAGGGACACUGGAGAAUAAAGAAAGGCCACUGGAGGGGAACUCAGCCAUCGGAGGAAAGCCGAUGCCACCGAGUUAGAACAUUAAACUACUUUGGUAAGCCCAAAAUUCCUUCUCGUUCUUCCUGUUUCUCUGCCCUUAGCCGCCUAAAAUGUUUUCAAUGCAAGGUGACCGAGACAAUCCACAAACCAUGAGGUAGGGACGGCAGAGCUCGGCUGAGCCAUCAUACAGGAGGACCAAAAAUGUUGGUAAGACCCUAUUUUUUCUCUCCUUUCUCCGAAAAACACUUUCU